ensembl:lncRNA
CAUGGGAAGAGAUUAGUGGCGAGAAGCGCCCACCCGGGAAGAGGAAGAAGCGCGAGAUACUGUGGGAUCCUAAGUUAAUUGGUCCUUCUUAAAGGCCAUGGGUAAAAGACUGAGAGCAUUUGUUCUUGAACUGUUUGAAAACACUGAACUGAGAUCUUCUUAUCAUCAGAGAGUCACACCAAGGAAUGUGAUUUCAUGCUCCCUGAAGUCAACUUGUCAAGACCAUCUUUUUUCCAGAUGUGGGAAGGAUUGUCACAUAGCAUACUGUGAGGCAGAAGUAUCCAACUAGCACAUUCUGUCCCGGUGACAUCACCAGAUAUAAGGAAUCAGAAAUGUCCUAUUUCUGCACAACUUCCUAAGCAAAAUCCCUAAGGCUUGAUUCCAUAAUGGCUGCUUUUACCUAAAAAGGCAUUAAAAAAUUUUUUUUAUUCUUUAAAUUUUAGUGGAAUAUAAUUGAUUUACAAUAUUGUAUUAGUUUCAGGU